UCCCGUUUUAUCUUCUGAUUUUUUGGAAAUAGUCCUUAGUUUAGUGAAGGUUUCUG
rnacentral:snRNA from 1 species